CUAGUUUGUAAGGGUUAUUACAUUAACGAGUCAGACGAAUUUCUUGUUUUCAAUCUAUUCGAAGUGAUGUAAGUAGAUUAAACAUAAAUAAAAAAAAAAAGAAACAAAAUUAAUAUCAUUCCCUCGUGGAAAGUUGCGUAAUUGUAAAGUGUCAUUUUAGUUACCUUUGUCCUAUAUUAAGUGUUUAUUUAAUGCUUUACGCACCAAGUACGUCACACAUAUAACGCUAUUUGAACUUCGACAAUAUACACAAUAGAAUAUAUUGUCUUAUAAGGCCCAUUCUAUAUGGAUGCGAAGGAUGGUCGUAGAAAAAGUAAAACCUUUCUGCUGAGACAACGAAUGGUCUUGUCAAAGUCAAUAAUAUAUAUAAAAAAAGAAAUAUGACAAGACAACAAUAAUUACAACCACAGAACUACAAGUUGUUGUCUGUUACCGAUAUAGAUGUAUCAAGUCUAGUCAAACAAAUAGCUGCUAUAUAUGUUUGUUGUCAAGAAUGAUAGCAAGUUAUAAUAUUGCUAUAUCGUAAAAUUUUGUGACAAUGAAAAACUUUCAAUCAUUUAGAUUACAACAGG
rnacentral:lncRNA from 1 species